rnacentral:rRNA from 1 species
CAGUAGCCGCGGGAAUACGUAGGUCCCGAGCGUUGUCCGGAUUUAUUGGGCGUAAAGCGAGCGCAGGCGGUUAGAAAAGUCUGAAGUGAAAGGCAGUGGCUCAACCAUUGUAGGCUUCGGAAACUGUUUAACUUGAGUGCAGAAGGGGAGAGUGGAAUUCCAUGUGUAGCGGUGAAAUGCGUAGAUAUAUGGAGGAACACCGGUGGCGAAAGCGGCUCUCUGGUCUGUAACUGACGCUGAGGCUCGAAAGCGUGGGGAGCGAACAGGAUUAGAUACCCCAGUAGUCCCUGUCUCUUAUACA